rnacentral:rRNA from 1 species
GAUGAACGCUAGCUACAGGCUUAACACAUGCAAGUCGAGGGGCAGCAUGAACAAAGCUUGCUUUGUUUGAUGGCGACCGGCGCACGGGUGCGUAACACGUAUCCAAUCUGCCCGCGGCUCGGGGAUAGCCCAUCGAAAGAUGGAUUAAUACCCGAUGGCGUGGUUUCUCCGCAUGGAGUUUCCACUAAAGGUUUUACGGACGCGGAUGAGGAUGCGUAUGAUUAGGUAGUAGGCGGGGUAACGGCCCACCUAGCCUUCGAUCAUUAGGGGUUCUGAGAGGAAGUUCCCCCACACUGGAACUGAGACACGGUCCAGACUCCUACGGGAGGCAGCAGUGAGGAAUAUUGGUCAAUGGGCGAGAGCCUGAACCAGCCAAUUAGCGUGAAGGAAGACUGCCCUAUGGGUUGUAAACUUCUUUUGUUCGGGAAUAAAGUGAGGCACGUGUGCCUUUUUGUAUGUACCUUACGAAUAAGCAUCGGCUAAUUCCGUGCCAGCAGCCGCAGUAAGAC